rnacentral:tRNA from 1 species
AUCAAGGAAGAAAAUAAAUCCCACCACCAACACCCAAAGCUGGCAUUCUAAUUAAACUAUUCCUUG